GACGAACGCUGGCGGCGUGCUUAACACAUGCAAGUCGAACGGAAAGGCCCUGCUUUUGUGGGGUGCUCGAGUGGCGAACGGGUGAGUAACACGUGAGUAACCUGCCCUUGACUUUGGGAUAACUUCAGGAAACUGGGGCUAAUACCGGAUAGGAGCUCCUGCUGCAUGGUGGGGGUUGGAAAGUUUCGGCGGUUGGGGAUGGACUCGCGGGUUAUCAGCUUGUUGGUGGGGUAGUGGCUUACCAAGGCUUUGAAGGGUAGCCGGCCUGAGAGGGUGACCGGCCACAUUGGGACUGAGAUACGGCCCAGACUCCUACGGUAGGCAGCAGUGGGGAAUAUUGCACAAUGGGCGGAAGCCUGAUGCAGCAACGCCGCGUGCGGGAUGACGGCCUUCGGGUUGUAAACCGCUUUCGCCUGUGACGAAGCGUGAGUGACGGUAAUGGGUAAAGAAGCACCGGCUAACUACGUG
rnacentral:rRNA from 1 species